ensembl:lncRNA
UGUGAAUUUCACAUUACGUCGUAGUACACUCGGUGCUUGCUUGGAAGUUUAGGGUUUUUUUCGCUGUAAAAGAAGUUUUCUUCCCACGCACAACGGACACUAAUGUUUUUGUCACUUUUUAUGGAAUCAAACUCAAAAUAAGGAGCAAAGAGAUUACCGGUUGUCAGGGUCUUUGGAACCAGCUCGCCAUUGUGGAAACUAAGGCUCACCUAUCGUUUACCUGGCUGUCCAUGAACACACCUCAAGUCUCCUGGAAGUCUGCCUGCCCACCUGUAACUCUUCCAACUCUGUCAUCAUCCAGUCUAGCAAAUUUCCUCCUCAUCCACUGCAGCUAAGUGACCUAAGGAGGUCAUGAGCAUCAAGCUAUCCC